CGUUGACAGAACACAAGCCACUCCUACUCCUUUGAAGAAACAUUUGAAGGAAAACGAAACAUAAAGCUAUCUGGUACUCUUGCUGUUUGUUGGUGUGUGUUUGAAAAUGACAGAGGCUAUGGAUUCGAUCAGUUGUUCUAUCUGUCUGGAUCUACUGAAGAAUCCAGCGACUAUUGCUUGUGGACACAGCUACUGUAUGGGCUGUAUUAACGGCUGCUUCGACCAGGAUGAUUCUAAGGUGGUCUACAGCUGCCCCCAGUGUAAGGAAAGCUUCAUCUCCAAGCUGCCCCCAGUGUAAGGAAAGCUUCAUCUCCAGGCCCGUUCUGUGGAAAAAAAACACUCUUCUGGCUGAAUUGGUGGAGAAACUGAAGACGACAGAAUAACUCCAAGCUUCUCCUCCUGCUCACUAUUAUGUUGGACCUGGAGAUGUGGAGUGUGAUUUCGGCAUUGGGAGAGUGUGUCUGGCCUCUUACUGUGAGACUCACCUCCAGCCUCACUGUGAAGUAGCUCCCUUAAAGAAACACAAGCUGGUCAAAGCCUCCACACAACCACAGUAGAAGAUCUGUUCUCGUCAUGACAAAAUACUGGAGGUUUACUGCCGUACCGUUCAGCAGUGUAGCUGUUAUUUUUGUAUGAAGGAUGAACAUAAAGGCCAUGAUACAGUGUCAGCUGCAGCAGAGAGGACUUAGAAACAGAAACAGUUCUGGGAGAAAAUCAAGAAUCCCAGAAUAAAAUCCAGGAUAGAGAGAAGGAGAUACAGGUUGUGAACUCUAUGAAGCGCUCUGCACUGGCAGCAGUGGAGGACAGUGAGAGGAGCUUUACUGAGCUGAUCCACUCCAUUGAGAGAAGACGCUCUGAGGUAAAGGAGUUGAUCAGAGCCCAGGACAAGGCUGAAGUGAGUCGGGCUUAAGGACUCCUGGAGCAGGAGGUCGCUGAGCUGAGAAGAGAUGCUGAGCUGAGAAGAGAUGCUGAGCUGAGCUGAGAAGAGAUGCUGAGCUGAGAAGAGAUGCUGAGCUGAGGAGAGAUGCUGAGCUGAGGAGAGAUGCUGAGCUGAGGAGAGAUGCUGAGCUGAAGUAGCUCUCACACACAGAGGAUCACAUCCAUUUCCUCCAGAGUUUCCAGUUCUCUGUGUCUCUCCUGGAUCUCAGGCCUUAUCUCCUUUAAGCAUUUGAAGACAUCAGUCUCUGAACUGAAAGAUCGACAACAAGACAUAUGCAAGGAGGAAAUGGACAAGAUAUCUGAUGACGUGAUUCAAGUUCAGAUUGACCACCCUGCUGAGCCCAAGACUAGAGAGGAGUUCUUAGAAUACUCCUGCCAGCUGACGUUGGAUCCCAAUACAGCACAACAGCACCUGUGUCUGUCUGAGGAAAAUAGAAAGAUACAGCAGCACGCUGACUUGAAAAUCCUUUGGAGAACCCAACGGACUGAUCCUUUCUUGGGUCGGAUGGCAACAACCUCUGUAAAUACCAAGAAGGGGAAAACCUUUGGUUACAAACACUGACCAGUGGGCUCUACUACACCAAGCUUUUAAGACCAAACACUGACCAGUUAAUGGGCUCUACUACACCAAGAUUUUAAGACCAAACACUGACCAGUUAAUGGGCUCUACUACACCAAGCUUUUAAGACCAAACACUGACCAGUUAAUGGGCUCUACUACACCAAGCUUUUAAGACCAAACACUGACCAGUUAAUGGGCUCUACUACACCAAGCUUUUAAGACCAAACACUGACCAGUUAAUGGGCUCUACUACACCAAGCUUUUAAGACCAAACGCUUCGUUCUCUGUCAGUGUAACUCACCUGCUUUCACGUCCUCUCUGUCCUUCUCUUCCCCCCGAGGUUGUCAUUGGUUACCUCUACUGCUAAAAGUAGAACCCAAUGCACUUUGGCUUCAGUUUGCUCCUCAAUUCAUGCACCUUGGUAGGAAAGAGAGGUAGCAGCAGUGAUCCCUUCCCUUUGCAUUGGUUACCUCUACAACAGUCUGCAGACAGAGAACACAUGUGACCCGCUCUACGAGCGGAGGGGGCAAUGUGGGUCAGGUGGAGCCGAUGGGCUCAGAAGAUUUUCCACAGGGAGGGGCUUGGCGGCGUGGGCUUCGAAAUCUGCACCUUGUCCACCACUGUAGAGCAGAUGAAUUCUAUACUUUGCAUCUCCAGCAGUUCCUUCUCCCCAGAAGUGACUGGAUGGCAGUGAUGGCCGCAGCCUGGGAGAAGGGAGCCAAAAGGGGAGGGGGCUUGAGGCCGGUGCCAUGCCAUUUCUGUCCUAGGGCCACCACCAUGCCCAUGGCUAGGUCUCUCAGCAUGAUGGAAUGUGCCUCUGAGCGACCUUCCUCCGGCUGGGGCCACAGGGCCAGGAACAGUCUGGGCUCUAUGCCACCUGCGAUUGACUAAUCCAACUGGGGGACUAUAGUGAUGUGCAGUUAGCAAACAAUUUGUUAGAUUUUAACAACUCUUUUUACUGACUCGAGAGUCUGUUUAAAAAAUAAAUAACAAUCUGAGUGACUCGUUCAUUUUAGUAAUUCGUUUGACCUGCUAGUGCUGGCCGCAAUGAGUCCAACAGCAGGAUUAUAGACUCUCCUCCGGCUCAAAUGUGCCCCGACCACCAACUGUCUAUCAUAUGCACUCAGGGAAAUAGAUCAUGAGCAUAGAGAAGAACUGAUAAUUGAUCGCAUGGUGCAAGAAUGACUGCAAUUAAUUGAUUGUUGAAUGUUAUGAUGGACACAACAGCUUUGUAGAACCAAAACUCUCUUCAACAAACUCGAACUCAAGAACAAAUCGUUUGGGGGGGGUUGCAGUUUGCGAACAACUUUGUGCUUAUGUAUUUUAUAAGAGGCGAUGACCAAAACCUGAACACUAGUAGUUGUACUAGCACCCCAGGGCUGUCAACCUCACACAUCUCCACACAUGUCUUUUGUCAGCAACAAAGAUAGAUUACACAUCAUGUUAUUUUGUCCACACCACAGUGCUACAGAACACCUGUUGUAGCCUCAGGCUAACAAGCCAGGCAGAUUCACGCACACAGUCAUCCUCACUGUCUGUGAUUCUAACCUGUAGACCAAUGAGCUGAGAAACACGGGGGGUCAGUGAUGUGUGGUUUUGUCAUGGUCAUGGAGGGAACUGUGAGUAGCCUACAAACACUUUGGAUACAAACCACAACAGCUGUCUUCAAGAUGACCAAGAAUACGUCAAAGAUGACUUCAAGAGUCAUACUUCUUCCUUUAAGCAGAUGACAGUAAUUCUGUAGUCAAAUGCAGCAUAUGUAUUGUGAUGCUAUAAUGGUCUGGAGCCCCCGAUACAAACCCCAUUUGGACAAACACACUUUUUCACCCAUUGAAAGCUUCUAAACUAGUGUAUGUCUUCCUCAGUGGAAGCAGAAUACGGAAUACUAAACACCCCGUAAUCCACAGUAUCAUCUCCGAAAGCUCAGGUCAAACAGCUUUGAACAUCAUUCCAUACUGUAUAUUCUCAUCGCUAUACAGGUGAGCCAGACUGGCACAGCAUGAUUGGAAUCCCUAUGGCCACAUUACUGUAAUCACACCACAUCUGAAUGUGUUCCUCAUGUAUUCCACCCAGGACGGUACAAACUCAUUUUUCAGUCAUACUUGACUGGUCCUUCUGUAGCACAGUUGGUAGAGCAUGGCACUUGUAACGCCAGGGUAGUGGGUUUGAUUCCCGGGACCACCCAUACGUAGAAUGUAUGCACACAUGACUGUAAGUCGCUUUGGAUAAAAGCGUCUGCUAAAUGGCAUAUAUUAUAUAUUAUUAUCGAGGAAGUUGUUAUUCUAAGUAAAUAUAGGGCUUGGUUGCUAGGGGCUACCACUGAAUGAGCACCUGCUUUGCACAUGUACAGCCUCACAUAGGCAAAUGCUUCUAUAGCGCCUCGCGGUCAGAUGCCGAGCAGUUACCAUACCAAGCGCUGAUGCAGCCAGUCAAGACACUCUCAAUGGGGCAGCUGUAGAUCUUUUUGAGGAUCUCAGGGCCUAAACCAAAUCUUUUCAGCCUGCUGAGGGGGAAUAGGGGUUGUCAUGCCCUCAGAUCGCCAUGAUAGGUCCUUAGCGAUGUGGACAUCAAGGAAUUGAAGCUCUCAAUCCGCUCCACUACAGGCCCAUUGAUGUGAACGGGGGAAUUUGGCCCUCCGUUUCCUGUAGUCCACGAUAAACUCCGUUGUCUUGCCCAUGUUGAGGGAGAGGUUGUUGAUCAGGGUCUAUCCAGGGGUUUCACUGUAGGUCUGAGAGAAGUAUAUACAGUAUGCAGUCAGAAUGCAGUCAGGUCUAUUAUUCCUAAUCCUAGCCUAUAUCUAACCUCAUGUCUGAACCAAGUAGGACCCGUGUGGGCAUAUGAAUGUUGUAUUUUGACUUAUGAAACAUGCUGUAUUGUAAUAGUUUUGAGGUGUCAACAGGAAGAGAUAAGACUACUGUCUAGCAAACAGAGAUAUGGCUGAAUAUCUACUCCUUUUUACCACAGCCCUGUCAACAAUAUUCCUGAUUCAAGUCAGAGUCCUUGUGUUCUGAAUACACAGAGAUCAUUUUUCAACACUCGAUCUUCACAUUCUCAUUUGAAUCCUCUGGGCAGAUCUGGGUGUAAAUGAUUUCCUACUCAUUUUAGUGUCAUUUUAGUGUCUUGAUUAUUUAUUGAUACAGAGAGUCCUGCUGGACUCCAUCUUGUUUCUUCUCCCAGAUGCCCACAUCCCCUUCUGAAUACUGUUUAUGUACUACAGGCCUUACAUAAUCACUAUUAAACAUUUACUAAGAGAUGUUUUCAAUGAGAGAGAGAGAGAGAGAGAGAGAACACAUUUUAUUGCGUUCAUUAUUAUUGCCCAUUUUUUAUGUAAUUUUGUCUGGUUCUAUCUUGAGACCACUGGCUGCCAGUUAUAUCCUCCAGCACAAAGAGACACACAGAGUUGGCAUCACCAUGGCAACUUCCCCCAAACUCCAGAACAUAAACUUCCAUCAGUGCAGCAAAGUGUUACAGACUCCAUGAGGGGUCUAUAGUUUGAGUGU